AGAGGUGGGUUUCGGAAGUCUGUGGCGGACCACCGCAGCAAGUCAUCACUCAGCGUACAAGCCUUUCCAUUUCUGAAAAUAUAAAGAACUUAAGCAUGCGGCGUUCGGAGUGUAGAUUGCUUUGAGGUAUUUCAAAGCAGCGCUGAUCAUGGGCAGAGGAGCUGAUAUGUGCAACAGAAACUACUCACUGGAACUCUUCUGGACGUCUGUCCUCUGUAAUGCAAGUGUCUGCCCUCACUCUGGCGACUGUGCUGUUGGAACGCUGGUGCUCAUCUUUCACUGUCCUCCACAAAGCAUGCCUCAGGACUGUAGGCAGGAAUUAAACUACAGAAGACUCAUGAGAAUAUUUCAUACCUGGUUCAGACCUUGGGUCUUCUAGAAUAUCAUUUCAACAUGUGAUUGUGGAUAGUGCACUUGAAUGGAACUUCUUGAGCCUUAAGGAUUGGAAGAUUAAUAUCAUCUCCAACACCCCUUUGUAUCAAGUAGUAAACUUUCUUAUUUAAAGAUGUAUGCAAUAAAUUGGAGCUUUUAUUUUUCCAGAGCUAAGUAGUUAACCUGAGCCAAGCUAAAAUGUGGAAGUGUUUUAAUCAAGACAAUAUAUUUCUACUUUGGGAAUGACUUACACUGAUCCCAGCUAACAAUAGAAAUUUUAUGGCCAAUUAAAACAAUUUUAGUGCACAAUUGUUUCUUUUGCAUGGUUAUUUAAAAUGAUUAUGGCAGAAAACACAUUUAUGCAUUAAAAUGUCUUCAAAAUUUAUUAUUAUUUCAUGUUACUGAUUAAAGUCAUAAUAAAAUAUAACACAUAGCA
rnacentral:lncRNA from 1 species